rnacentral:rRNA from 1 species
GAUGAACGCUGGCGGCGUGCCUAAUACAUGCCAGUCGAGCGAACGGACGAGAAGCUUGCUUCUCUGAUGUUAGCGGCGGACGGGUGAGUAACACGUGGAUAACCUACCUAUAAGACUGGGAUAACUUCGGGAAACCGGAGCUAAUACCGGAUGAUAUUUUGAACCGCAUGGUUCAAAAGUGAAAGACGGUCUUGCUGUCACUUAUAGAUGGAUCCGCGCUGCAUUAGCUAGUUGGUAAGGUAACGGCUUACCAAGGCAACGAUGCAUAGCCGACCUGAGAGGGUGAUCGGCCACACUGGAACUGAGACACGGUCCAGACUCCUACGGGAGGCAGCAGUAGGGAAUCUUCCGCAAUGGGCGAAAGCCUGACGGAGCAACGCCGCGUGAGUGAUGAAGGUCUUCGGAUCGUAAAACUCUGUUAUGAGGGAAGAACAUAUGUGUAAGUAACUGUGCACAUCUUGACGGUACCUAAUCAGAAAGCCACGGCUAACUACGUG